GGUGUGUCACGACAACCUGCCAGACGCUCAAAGCAUUGUGAGUCCUUCGUGAAGCUGGACGAUCGACCGAGGCCUGCUCCGAAGUGAAACUUUCGAUCCUGCCAGGGAGCUAUUUGUUUCACCAUGACUGAACCCAUGAAUGAUUUUUUCAAUUAUCCUAACAGACCGAAACCUCCGUUUCCUGUGGAACAAGGAGAACUACCAGAUAGGGCAGACCACGGCACCGAAGAUGCGCUUGGGUCGGACCUCCUCAUCCCAGCCGGAAUCCAACACUACGAGUAAGCCAUGGGUUAUCAUGCUGCUAUCAUGCAAUUCUUGGGAUUUGCAGCUGUAAGGUCAUGAAAUGGAUGUGUGAGGCAUGAGCGAGCAUGGUCUACCCAGGAUUCUGGAGCUUGGCAACCACCUUCGGCAACUCGCCGCUCACAGCAGCGCUGAGCAGAGCCACAGGUUCUGGAGUGAGUGAUAACGGCUUCACUGCUGAUUUCUUUGCGUGUGUGCAGGACGUGGUAUUGGGAGAAUUAUACUGUAUAGUAUACUGUAUAGUAUACUCACUUGUAUAGAAUACUAUCUACUUUGUAUUGACCUUACACCAAGAGUUGUGACUCUUGGCAUCACACAAUAUAUUGUGUAUCAAUUGAUCAUAUUAAUAAUAAUAUUGUUUCCAACAUGGUA